rnacentral:misc_RNA from 1 species
GCCCAUUCAUCCCAACUGUUCGAAAAAUAGAAGAGCAAGAAAUGACAGCUUAUCAGAGUUUGUUACUUGCAGAUUAAGGCACCAAAAUUGGAGAAGCUUAAGUAUAUUCUUUUCCCAGCUGAACCUUUCAACUCCAUCUCUCCAAAUUCAGCUGGUCUGGUACUAAUAUCACCCAACAUGAGUCCAUAAAUAUCAGGCAUAAGCAAAUCAAGCAAGAUGCAAUUUUAUGAUGAAAAUUAAAUCACGUGCUGAAAUACAAAGACAAAAAUGCACUUCAAGCGCAAGUCAUUCAAACAAAGUGAAUUUCAGAAAGCAUAAAAGCAUAUGCUGUAAUAGUUUGUGAAAAGCAAUGCACAUUGAUAAUUUUAUAUUCAUGUAUAUGCACUAGAAAGCUUCCUUGAGAAAACAAAAAUGAAAGUGAAAUAUAAAAUGAAUGGCAUCUUACAAUAGAAUGCAUAAUGGUUAUUAUACUCACUGGGAGCUUAUAUUAUUAAUUAAAACCAUAACUAAAUGUUUU